rnacentral:rRNA from 1 species
GAUGAACGCUGGCGGCGUGCCUAAUACAUGCAAGUCGAGCGAACAGACGAGGAGCUUGCUCCUCUGACGUUAGCGGCGGACGGGUGAGUAACACGUGGAUAACCUACCUAUAAGACUGGGAUAACUUCGGGAAACCGGAGCUAAUACCGGAUAAUAUAUUGAACCGCAUGGUUCAAUAGUGAAAGACGGUUUUGCUGUCACUUAUAGAUGGAUCCGCGCCGCAUUAGCUAGUUGGUAAGGUAACGGCUUACCAAGGCAACGAUGCGUAGCCGACCUGAGAGGGUGAUCGGCCACACUGGAACUGAGACACGGUCCAGACUCCUACGGGAGGCAGCAGCAGGGAAUCUUCCGCAAUGGGCGAAGGCCUGACGGAGCAACGCCGCGUGAGUGAUGAAGGUCUUCGGAUCGUAAAACUCUGUUAUUAGGGAAGAACAAAUGUGUAAGUAACUAUGCACGUCUUGACGGUACCUAAUCAGAAAGCCACGGCUAACUACGUG